rnacentral:ncRNA from 1 species
GUUACGGCAAUGAUGGAGAGAGUAACUUUAAGACCGUUCCCAGCGAGCCGGGGAGGGUGUGAGCCCGGUGAACGCUCUUUUAGUGAAAAUCACUCCUGAGCUGCGGACCGAACCAUACUGUAGGCUCCGCCGUGUGACGAGCGUUAUUUCGUCAGUGAGCGGCUGCCCAAUCGGGUGGUCAUUAGGGUGGUACCACGGGAAUUCGACCUCUCGUCCCUUGC